rnacentral:rRNA from 1 species
GAUGAACGCUGGCGGCGUGCCUAAUACAUGCAAGUCGAGCGAACAGACGAGGAGCUUGCUCCUUUGACGUUAGCGGCGGACGGGUGAGUAACACGUAGGUAACCUACCUAUAAGACUGGGAUAACUUCGGGAAACCGGAGCUAAUACCGGAUAAUAUUUCGAACCGCAUGGUUCGAUAGUGAAAGAUGGCUUUGCUAUCACUUAUAGAUGGACCUGCGCCGCAUUAGCUAGUUGGUAAGGUAACGGCUUACCAAGGCAACGAUACGUAGCCGACCUGAGAGGGUGAUCGGCCACACUGGAACUGAGACACGGUCCAGACUCCUACGGGAGGCAGCAGUAGGGAAUCUUCCGCAAUGGGCGAAAGCCUGACGGAGCAACGCCGCGUGAGUGAUGAAGGUCUUCGGAUCGUAAAACUCUGUUAUUAGGGAAGAACAAACGUGUAAGUAACUGUGCACGUCUUGACGGUACCUAAUCAGAAAGCCGCGGCUAACUACGUG